rnacentral:rRNA from 2 species
GGACUACUCGGGUAUCUAAUCCCGUUUGCUCCCCUGGCUUUCGUGCCUCAGCGUCAGGAAAUGUCCAGAGACUCGCCUUCGCCACUGGUGUUCCACUUGAUAUCUACGCAUUUCACUGCUACACCAAGUAUUCCAGUCUCCCCUCCAUUCCUCUAGCCGGAUAGUAUUCAACGCAGUUUCCGGGUUAGGCCCGGAGAUUUCACGUCAAACUUACCCAACCGCCUACGCACCCUUUACGCCCAGUGAAUCCGAACAACGCUUGGGACCUCUGUAUUACCGCGGCUGCUGGCAC